rnacentral:rRNA from 1 species
UACGGAGGGUGCGAGCGUUGUCCGGAAUCACUGGGCGUAAAGGGCGCGUAGGCGGCCGUGUAAGUCACCUGUGAAAUCCCGGGGCUCAACUCCGGGGCUGCAGGUGAGACUGCGUGGCUAGAGCACGGUAGAGGCGAGUGGAAUUCCCGGUGUAGCGGUGGAAUGCGUAGAUAUCGGAAGGAACAUCAGUGGCGAAAGCGGCUUCCUGGACCAGCACCGACGUUCAGGCACGAAAGCGUGGGGAGCAAACAGG